rnacentral:misc_RNA from 1 species
ACACCUCAACUCUCAUGGUCUACCAUGAUGAGCUUGGAUUUUGGGGGUCUUGCUGGCGUAACUGUCGGCUCCCCUCAAACGAAUCAGCUUGCCAGUGUUUGGUGGCGUCACAGGUGUGAUAACUAUCUACGCUUGUGGUCUUCCAUCAGGUUACCUUCAGUAAUGGAGGUUCACUGGAGCUCACAGAAGUCUCUCCUCAGGGAGGACAGCUUUUUAAU